GGACGCUUGGGAAAUCUGGAGAGGCUUUUGAUUGGGAGGCAAGAGGUCACCGGUUCGACUCCGGUAUUCUCCACCA
rnacentral:tRNA from 1 species